GCUGGUAUGGUGGGUAAGUAUGAUAUAUUCGCUAUUAGACAUUUUGAUUGUAUGUGUUGUAUCUGACGUUUUCUAUAUAUUGGGGUUACAUUUAUGUUCCUUAUAGCUGUCUCACCGUAUUUGGGUGUGUAGAGUUUGAGUUUGACGUACUGUACUAUUUAUUAUAGUUAUGCACAUACAGUUGGAGUCCAGUUAUUACCUUUUUCUUUUUCUGUGUCUCCUUUAGCCUUAAUUCUUCAUGAUUUGCCAUAUUGGAGCUGCGGUUGGCUACGUUAGCCGAAGUUGGAUGUUCUGUAUUUGGUCUUCGUUAUCCGCAAGAAAGAGGGGGAUUGUGGGUGCUUCAAGUAUUUUAUAGUCAC